UACGUAGGGUGCAAGCGUUGUCCGGAAUUAUUGGGCGUAAAGGGCGCGUAGGCGGUUUGUUAAGUCGGUUGUGAAAGCCCGGGGCUCAACCCCGGAGAGUCGACCGAUACUGGCAGACUAGAGUACGGAAGAGGUAACUGGAAUUCCCGGUGUAGCGGUGAAAUGCGUAGAUAUCAGGAGGAACACCGGUGGCGAAGGCGGAUCUCUGGGCCAUUACUGACGCUGAGGAGCGAAAGCGUGGGGAGCGAACAGG
rnacentral:rRNA from 1 species